rnacentral:rRNA from 1 species
UACGGGGGGGGCAAGCGUUGUUCGGAAUUACUGGGCGUAAAGGGCUCGUAGGCGGCCAACUAAGUCAGACGUGAAAUCCCUCGGCUUAACCGGGGAACUGCGUCUGAUACUGAAUGGCUUGAGUUUGGGAGAGGGAUGCGGAAUUCCAGGUGUAGCGGUGAAAUGCGUAGAUAUCUGGAGGAACACCGGUGGCGAAGGCGGCAUCCUGGACCAACACUGACGCUGAGUGAGCGAAAGCCAGGGGAGCAAACGGG